CUUUCCUUCACUUUAAUACGAAAUUGGAGCCGGCGCCGGUGGCUCUCGCCUAUUAUCCUAGCUACUCAGGAGGCUGAGAUCUGAGAAACAUGGUUCAAAGCCAGCCCGGGCAAGGAAAGUCU